rnacentral:rRNA from 1 species
GAUGAACGCUGGCGGCGUGCCUAAUACAUGCAAGUCGAGCGAACAGACGAGGAGCUUACUCCUCUGACGUUAGCGGCGGACGGGUGAGUAACACGUGGAUAACCUACCUAUAAGACUGGGAUAACUUCGGGAAACCGGAGCUAAUACCGGAUAACAUGUUGAACCGCAUGGUUCAACAGUGAAAGACGGUCUUGCUGUCACUUAUAGAUGGAUCCGCGUCGCAUUAGCUAGUUGGUAAGGUAACGGCUUACCAAGGCAACGAUGCGUAGCCGACCUGAGAGGGUGAUCGGCCACACUGGAACUGAGACACGGUACAGACUCCUACGGGAGGCAGCAGUAGGGAAUCUUCCGCAAUGGGCGAAAGCCUGACGGAGCAACGCCGCGUGAGUGAAGAAGGUCUUCGGAUCGUAAAACUCUGUUAUUAGGGAAGAACAAAUGUGUAAGUAACUAUGCACGUCUUGACGGUACCUAAUCAGAAAGCCACGGCUAACUACGUG